rnacentral:rRNA from 1 species
UACGGAGGGUGCAAGCGUUAAUCGGAAUUACUGGGCGUAAAGCGUGCGUAGGUGGUUUGUUAAGUCAGAUGUGAAAGCCCCGGGCUCAACCUGGGAACUGCAUUUGAAACUGGCAAACUAGAGUAUAGGAGAGGAAAGUGGAAUUUCAGGUGUAGCGGUGAAAUGCGUAGAUAUCUGAAGGAACAUCAAUGGCGAAGGCA